rnacentral:rRNA from 1 species
UGGUGGAGCGAUUUGUCUGGUUAAUUCCGAUAACGGACGAGACUCUAGCCUGCUAAAUAGUCGGGUCGUAUUCUUUAGCGUCCUUUUGACUUCUUAGAGGGACAAGCGGCAACUAGUCGCACGAGAUUGAGCAAUAACA